GCAAAUAACUCAGUCAGUAGAGCAUGAGACUCUUAAUAUCGGGGUCGUGGGUUUCAGCCCCAUGUUGGGCA